rnacentral:lncRNA from 1 species
GGACACAUAGCUCCUACGAGCUCCCGCCCACCGCGGAGAUCGCUGGCUGGCCGGUAACUGGACAGGAUGUUGUAGUUUAGGGUCGAAUAGGAAUAAUAAUAUUCAGGACAUGUCUUUUAUUAACAUACUCGUUAGCAGUCGCUUUACAUCCGAAGGCUAGUAGGCUACAUGGUCCAUCAUUUAUCCUGUUGUAUUUAAAUGUACCACAGUUUCAGGGACACGUUGAUUGGUCGAGAUGCAUUAUGGGAUAUGUGUGAUGCAUGAUGGGAUACGUAGCAUGUAGCCUUCUAGCCUUCGGAUGCAAAGUGACCGCUAACGAGUAUGAUGCUUUUUGUAGAGCUUUUUAAAAUAAAUAAAUUUGAUCUCUAAACAUCCUCAGUGUCUUCCGUGCAAUGUAAUGAGACACACAGACAGAAAUGUGAAGGUAUCUACUGUAAAUCAAACGUUUGCUCACAUCCGUGUCUAUGAAUGACUUAUGACAUGAAUAAGAAUUUUGUUUGCACAAAUUAAUUAAUAUGUGGGAACGGAAUAUUAUUUUGUGGGAAUGAGAUAUUAUUUUUUUACCCAUGUCAGGUCACGGGCUCCGUAGCCGACAGUCAGAUGGACGUCACACCGAUCUGGAGUCUCAUUGAAUCUGCUUUACUUUUUACAUUUAUUUUUAAAGAAAAAAAAACUUUUUCCUUGAAAUGUUAGGACUUUCGAAAUGUAAGACUUUACUCUUUUUAAAUUUUGGCUUUUUUUGUCAAAAUUGUACAACUUUAUUCUCGUUUUUUUUAAUCAUUUCUGUUAUGGCAGCCCUAAUAUUUCAUUGCAGGUUUGAGAAAAUAUGCAAAAGAAAGAAAAAAAAACACUUGCAAAAACAAACGGAACCAAAUGAGAUUAACAGAAAGAUGGCAGAAACGGUGACAUGUCAACAAUUCCCGAACACAUGCUGCUGUCUAGGAGGCUGAGACGACUUUGCCGGAACAUUCUGAUGUGAAAACCUUUGCCUCUCAAACCCAACGACGGCAGUGAGUGAGGAUGAGGUCUCCCCCCUCCGUGAUGCUUGAUGAAUGCAGGCGCUGAACUACAGAAAAAGCCUCAUUAUGAGACACUUAUGGAUUACCCAGGGUGUCACACUGGGGGAGAGCGUUUGUCUGCAAAAGAGGAGGAGGAGGAGAAACAAUGAGACAAAACGCCGCUGUGCCCCCCCCCCCCCCCCCCCGCCUCCUCCUCCAGCUCCUCUAUCCCUCUCAAAUGGAUAAUUCUGGUGAUACUUGUGACAGGCCGCGGUUUAGAUUUUGAUUUAUGUUCUUCCAAAGCUAAAAUCAAAGAAUCCAUCUCGUGCUAUUUUAUGGCAGUUGGGAUGAUGAAUGGGCCAGUCUCUGGGCCAAAGCAAGCUGCUGUGUCUUUGCCCCGGAUUUUAAUUGCUAAAGUAGCCGGUCAUUGCUCAAGAUUCAACACCCAAUGAGAGCCAGAAGGGCCGGCGCGCUCCCCGCUUGUCACCCCAGCGGCCGCCUGUUUCUCAAACGUCGCUGCCGUUUCAGCUGCUCGGCCUCCGAGAAACAGCUAACGUCACGCAGUUCAUAAAACCGCCGCUGAAUCGUUCGUCACCUGGCCAUGGCGAGCUGAUGUUACGCACACGACUAAUGGAUUCACGUAAUUGGCCCAACUUUUCUUUUCGUGAAUGGGAAUCCUUUCUAAGAGAUAAUAUCCCAGAUCCCGCAUCUCCAAUCUGCUGUUUCACACAAAAAAAUACAAAAAUGCAUCAAAAAGUAGCUGAUAUUGAUGGGUGUUUUCCCUUUUUCCCACAGCAGGUAUUUGCAGACUGAGAUGGAUCUGACAAUGCCUGCUGUGGGACUGAG